AGGAUCCAAAGCUAAAAUAGUAUAGUCAUUAAAUAUAUGGAUCUCUUGGUAACUUUAUCUCACCAUUGGUAUUAAAAAAAUCAACUUCUCACCUGUGAUCCUCCUGACUCUAGAGCCUGUUUCUCUGCCCGCGUUUCCAACAAGGUGACCACCAAGACUGAAACCUACUAAGUGUACUCUGUC